UACGAAGGGGGCUAGCGUUGCUCGGAAUCACUGGGCGUAAAGGGUGCGUAGGCGGGUCUUUAAGUCAGGGGUGAAAUCCUGGAGCUCAACUCCAGAACUGCCUUUGAUACUGAAGAUCUUGAGUCCGGGAGAGGUGAGUGGAAUUCCCAGUGUAGAGGUGAAAUUCGUAGAUAUUGGGAAGAACACCGGUGGCGAAGGCGGCUCUCUGGACCGAGACUGACGCUGAGGCGCGAAAGCGUGGGGAGCAAACAGG
rnacentral:rRNA from 1 species